CACGUAGGGUGCGAGCGUUGUCCGGAAUCAUUGGGCGUAAAGAGCUCGUAGGCGGUGUGUCGCGUCGGCCGUGAAAACCUGCAGCUUAACUGUGGGCUUGCGGCCGAUACGGGCAUCACUGGAGUUCGGCAGGGGAGACUGGAAUUCCUGGUGUAGCGGUGAAAUGCGCAGAUAUCAGGAGGAACACCGGUGGCGAAGGCGGGUCUCUGGGCCGAUACUGACGCUGAGGAGCGAAAGCGUGGGGAGCGAACAGG
rnacentral:rRNA from 1 species